rnacentral:rRNA from 1 species
UGGGGAAUAUUGCACAAUGGGCGAAAGCCUGAUGCAGCGACGCCGCGUGAGGGAUGACGGCCUUCGGGUUGUAAACCUCUUUCAGUAGGGACGAAGCGCAAGUGACGGUACCUACAGAAGAAGCACCGGCCAACUACGUGCCAGCAGCCGCGGUAAUACGUAGGGUGCGAGCGUUGUCCGGAUUCACUGGGCGUAAAGAGCUCGUAGGCGGUUUGUCACGUCGUCUGUGAAAACCCGAGGCUUAACCUCGGGCCUGCAGGCGAUACGGGUAGACUUGAGUACUGUAGGGGAGACUGGAAUUCCUGGUGUAGCGGUGGAAUGCGCAGAUAUCAGGAGGAACACCGGUGGCGAAGGCGGGUCUCUGGGCAGUAACUGACGCUGAGGAGCGAAAGCGUGGGUAGCGAACAGG